GCAGUGCUCCCAGGAAAAAAAGGCAGCCGGCUGAACUCCUAUUCGCUGUCCCAUUGUAUCGGACGCGGUAAUAAUCGGGUUUGCAAAUGCAAUCGCUGCUACGAUGCGAAAAUCCUACUGGAAAAUGUAUUAGAGCAAUUAUCCGUCUCACUCCGCAGCCGGGUGUAGCAUUAAUAUUCAAUUUUGAUGUGCAAGUCCUAUUAUGUUAAUGACUUUGGUGACAAAAGUCGUCCGUGGAAGACUUUUUCUUUAUAGUGCAGCAUCACCGGGCUGAGCGCGGCCACCACGUUGCUGUGGGGAUGGGAUCACAGCCAGGGCUGUGCCCAGCUCCGUGCAGCCGGGGGUGCGGUGUGGGCCGGCACUACACCCGGUGCUGCAGCUGCCCUCCUUUGUUCUCUCCGGGGCUGGGGGGUGUGCGGGGCUCCCUCCACUGCACUGCCGGUAUCGGAGCCGCCCUGAGGCUCUGCGGGUGGAGGGUGGGCAGCGCUGCAGGAAGGCCUGGAUGGACAGAUGGACAGAUGGAUGGAUAGACAGAUGCACGGAUCACAUGCAGCACAGAGAGGGUCGCAGCCCGCGUACGGCGCCGGUGCUGCCGACCCCCGGCAUUGCCGUUGCACAGCACCGCAGCUCCGCGGGGGCUCGAGGCCGAGCCCCGCGGUCGCCAGCGCCGCCCCAGGGGACGGGAGCGGGACGCAGAUUGGCAGAAACGGGAAAAAAUGGCAGCGCCCUUCGCCUUCCGAGCAAAACACCCAUUUCCGGCAGCGCGACUCCCGACCGCCUGCAGUCCCGCGGGCGACCCCGCGCCGUUCCCGCACGGUGCCCCCCACCCGCGGUGUCACUCGUUUCCUCUGCUGGAGGGGGACCAGAGGGUCCACCAAGGACGUCUUGGGGACACUCCAUCCUCCCUGUGUUCCCCCCCAAGAAGGUCCUCACAUGACACACGGUGUCCUCCAGCCCGCGCCGCAGCGAUGGAUUGAACUUUAGUCUCCGAGCAAUUAAGGUGACCUGAAACUGCACUUCAUUAAUGGUUGUUAUGCAAUAAAAACGAUAAAACUGCCCUUAUUUGCA
rnacentral:lncRNA from 1 species